rnacentral:rRNA from 1 species
ACCUGGUUGAUCCUGACAGUAGUCAUAUGCUUGUCUCAAAGAUUAAGCCAUGCAUGUGUAAGUAUGAACAAAUUCAGACUGUGAAACUGCGAAUGGCUCAUUAAAUCAUUUAUAGUUUGUUUGAUGGUAUCUACCACUCGGAUAACCAUAGUAAUUCUAGAGCCAAUACGUGCAACAAACCCCGAAUUCUGGAAGGGAAGCAUUUAUUAGAUAUAAGGUCGACGCGGGCUCUGCCCGUUGCUGCGAUGAUUCAUGAUAACUCGACAGAUCGCACGGCCAUCGUGCCGGCGAUGCAUCAUUCAAAUUUCUGCCCUAUUAACUUUGGAUGGUGAUAUUUUCCAAGGAUGUUUUCAUUAAUCAAGAAUGAAACUUGGGGGCUCAAAGACGAUCAGAUACCAUCCUAGUCUCAACCAUAAACGAUGCCGACCAGGGAUCGGCGGAUGUUGCUUUUAGGACUCCGCCGGCACCUUAUAAGAAAUCCAAGUUUUUGGGUUCCGGGGUGAGUAUGGUCGCAAGGCUGAAACUUAAAGGAAUUGACGGAAGGUCACUACCAGGAGUGGAGCCUGCGUCUUAAUUUGACUCAACACGAGGAAACUUACCAGGUCCAGACAUAGUAUGGAUUGAUAGACUAAGAGCUCUUUCUUGAUUCUAUGGGUGGUGGUGCAUGGCCAUUCUUAGUUGGUGGAGUAAUUUGUCUGGUUAAUUCCAUUAACGAAAGAGACCUCAGCCUGCUAACUAGAUAUGCAGAGGUAUCCCUUCGGGGCCAGCUUCUAAGAGGGACUACGGCCUUUUAGGCCGCGAAAGUUUGAGGCAAUAACAGGUCUGUGAUGCCCUUAGAUGUUCUGGGCCGCACGUGCGCUACACUGAUGUAUUCAACGAGUUUAUAGCCUUGGUCGACAGGCCCGGGUAAUCUUUGAAAUUUCAUCCUGAUGGGGAUAGAUCAUUGCAAUUGUUGUUCUUCAACGAGGAAUUCCUAGUAAGCACGAGUCAUCAUCUCGCGUUAACUACGUCCCUUCCCUUUGUACACACCGCCCGUCGCUCCUACCGAUUAAAUAAUCCGGUGAAAUGUUCAGAUCGCGGCAACGUGGGCGGUUCGCUGCCCACGACAUCGCGAGAAGUCCAUUGAACCUUAUCAUUUAGAGGAAGAAGAAGUCGUAACAAGGUUUACGUAGGUGAACCUGCGGAAG